rnacentral:lncRNA from 1 species
UUGACCCUCCCGGAUUAACAACAUUAUUAAGCAGUGGUUCCUUUAUUAAAGGUGUAGUGGCCGUGCUGCUACAUCCCUUCUUUCCCAAAGCAGAAAUCAGGUGCCUGCAUCAGACAAUGCAAGAGUGAGAUGACACAUCUCAGCAAGUAAACAGAGCAAACAACAAUUGGAUAAUGUAAACCAACCGUGCUUAAACAACCACGUAGUUCAAAACUUCCUUCUUGAAUAUUAAUUUGCAGCAAGUAAGCAAGUAACUGAUUACUUAAUGCCAAGAUGAAUCACAAUGUAAAGAUCCACACUAUCCACAUCCACAUAACAGAUUACACACCUCUCCCAUGAAUGCACAUGGCUAAAGAUGCAGUAAUGACUUCUGCCUUCAUAUCUCUAAGGAUAUGAAGCUGCAACAUACCCCUUCUCGGGCAACAUAUGAUGCUCAUUGUACCGAUACGGUCGGACCAUAAGAUCGCGACGAAACUUCAAUGCAAUGGAUGAUGAAUGCAUUAUGCAAGUCAACAACAUGAGUUCUUCCCAAACAAAAUGUGCUAGACAUAUACUUCCACCCAUUCCACAUAAUAAACCACAUGGGUAACAUGAUCAAACCACAAACUCAACAUAUGUAAUCAAUAAAACAUGAAUAUCUUCCAACGAUGGUACUCAAUUAGAAAUAUGAAUACGAACACAAAUAGCACAAACAUAAUCAAGUAUAAGACUCUUCAUUCGACAGACGGAAUAACCAUCACUGUUUUACUUGCCUUCACCGGAAGUUUGGGAAAAUCCCUAAGUAUGAUCCGGAAGUCCACCACCUUGGGUUCUUCCCUUCCUCCUUCCUUCUUCCUCCCUCCAAACUCCAAUUGAGAUCGCAGCCACACGACGGAGAACACGCGGGAGGGCUGCACCUUGGAGGGGGGGAAAGAGAAAUGGGGGGGUAGGGUUUUGGGUGGUGACGGCUGCAAAGGUUUGAGGAGGAAGAAGAUGGGAGAGGGGGGAGGGGUGACGUCCAAGAGGAAGGGGAGGGGAAGGGGGCGGCUGCUAGGGUUAGGGGAGACUAAUGGGCCGGAUCAAGGUUCAAGGCCCAACUCGCCCAUGUGACAGCUCCCGACCCCGUCGCAAAUAACUAACCAAAGAAAUUCUACUAUCUUACAGGUGAAUAUUUUCCACAAAUUCCAAAUUCCCAAAGCGCAUCACCCGAAUGAGGAAAAAGAACAAAAAGAAUAACCUCCACUUCUCCUCUUUGCAAACCGGGUAUCACACUCUACCCCCCUUAAAAAGAAUUCAACCUCGAAUUCUGACGCUUCUAUCGGAACGACAAAAGGGAAAAAAUUAAUGAAUCAACAACACUUACCCACAACAAAAAGUUUCGGAUAUUUCUGCCGCAUCAGCUCCUCAAGUUCCCACGUAGCCUCGCGCUCAGACUAAUUAGUCCAUAAGAACUUGACAUACUUAAUUGACCUCUUCCUCAAAACACGCCCCGAGGAUUCCAAGAUACGCACCAGACGACACUCCAAGGUCAGAUCCUGCUGCACCGCAAUUGGUUCUAUCUCAAUCUGAUGGUUCGGAUCCUGCAAGAACUUCCUCAGCAUAGAGACAUGAAAAACUGGGUGUACCCCUACCAUGGAAUCCGGCAAUUGCUAGCGAUAAGCCAAGCUGUCCACCCGGGCCAAGAUAGUGAACGGUCCAAUAUAUCUCGGGCUAAGCUUUCCGGAGACACCGAACCGAACAACUCCUUUAGUGGGUGAUACCCUGAGAAGGACUUCGUCACCCACUGCAAAUUCCAAAUCCCGCCUCCUCACACCAGCAUAACUCUUCUAACGGCUCUGAGCAGCCAAAAUAUUCUGACGAAUUUCCCGAACCUUUUCAGAAGUCUGCUUUACCCAAUCAUGACUAACCAGGUAUCUCUCUCCCAAGGUCUCCCAGCACAGAGGGGAGACACACCGCCUGCCAUACAAAACCUCAAAUGGUGCCAUCUUGAUGCUAGCCGGGUAGCUGUUGUUAUAAGCAAACUCUGCCAAUGCAAGAUGAUCUUCCCAGCUACCCUUCCAAGACAGAACACAAGCGCGCAACAUAUCUUCCAAGGUUUGUAUCGUUCGCUCCGACUGACCAUCAGUCUGAGGAUGAAAAGCGACACUAAGAGAAAGCUUGGUGCCCAAUGGACUGUGAAGACUCUCCCAGAAUUUGGAUACAAAUUUGGAGUCUCGAUCAGAAACAAUGGACUUAGGUACCCCGUGAAGCCUGAUUACUUCCUUCAUAUACAAGGGGACCAAAUCUGAAGCUGAAUUUGUGGUCUUCAUGGGAAUAAAAUGCGCAGACUUAGUCAGCGAUCCACUACCACCCAUAUAGCAUCUCUACCCUGAGGAGAACGAGGUAAACCCACAACAAAAUCCAUGGUGAUAUGCUCCCAUUUCCACUCCAGAAUUUCCAAUGGCUUCAGUAAACCUGCAGGCCGCUUAUGCUCAGCCUUCACGCGCUGACAUACUUCACAGGCGGCCACAUAGUUAGAAACGUCAACCUUCAUUCGCUUCCACUAGAAGUUUUGCUUCAGAUCUCGGUACAUCUUGGUUUCGCCAGGGUGAACGGUGUAAGGCGUGUUAUGAGCUUCUCUCAAUAUAUCCAUCUUCACCUCUGAUUUCUGAGGCACACAAAGGUGACCCCUGAAACGAACCAAAUCAUUCUCAUCGAUGGAGAACUCCCGAGGUUUACCAUUGCCAACCCUCUUUCGAGCUUCAUGCAAUAAACGAUCCUGCUACUGAGCCGCACGCACUCUCUCCAUGAGGGAAGAUUGAAUAAGCAUACGAGUCUCCUCACUAGCGGUGCCAACAUAGCACAAAGCGAUCCCCAAACGGUCCAGAUCAGCAAUCAACUGCAAGGCCACUUUUGGAAUCCCGAACCUGCUAAGGGUAUCAGCCACCACAUUUGCCUUCCCCGGGUGAUAAUGAAUAGACAAAUCAUAAUCUUUAAUCAAUUCGAGCCACCGACACUGCCUCAAAUUCAGCUCCUUCUGAGUAAAAAUAUACUUGAGACUUUUAUGAUCGGUGUAAAUGUCACAAGCCUCGCCAUAAAGAUAAUGCCACCACGACUUUAGAGCAAAAACCACCACGACCAAUUCAAGAUCAUGAGUUGGGUAAUUCCCCUCAUGCUUCCCCAACUGCCUUGAGCCAUAAGCAAUCACUCUGCCUUCCUGCAUCAACACACAGCCAAGACCAAUAUGUGAAGCAUCCGUAUAAACUGUGAAACGCUUACCGCUCUCAGGCAAAGCUAGGAUAGGGGCGUCCACCAACUUGCUCUUCAAUUUCUGAUAACUGACCUCGCAAUCGCUGGACCAGAUGAAGAGAACACCCUUCUCCAAGAGUCUAGCCAAGGGCUUAGCAAUGCUAGAAAAAUUUGGUACGAAACGCCGAUAAUAUCCAGCGAGCCCCUAGAGGGUCUCUUCCACUCCACCACAGCCGCAACAUUCUUGGGAUCAACCGCAAUGCCCUGCUGAUUAAUCACAUGCCCCAGGAAAGCCACUUCGGACAGCCAAAAUGCACACUUCUUCAACUUGCCAUAGAACUGGUUCUCCCUUAGGGCACCUAGAACGAGACGGAGAUGCUGCUCAAGCUCAGCCUCGGUCUAAGAAUAAAUCAGAAUGUCAUCCAGGAACACGACCAAAAAGUCGUCCAAGAAAUCAUGCAACAUCCUAUUCAUUGCUUCCAUAAAAGCAGCAGGGACAUUAGUUAAGCCAAAAGACAUGACUAUGAACUCAUAAUGCCCAUACCUGGUGCAAAAAGCGAUCUUUUCAAUAUCCUCCUCAUGAAUCCAAAGUUGAUGAUAACCAGAGUUCAAAUCAAUUUUGGAGAACACCUGGGCACCCCUCAACUGUUCAAAGAGAACCUCAAUACGGGGGAGUGGAUAUUUAUUCUUGAUAGUCACUUGAUUCAAAGCGCGAUAAUCCACACAUAGCCGCUUGCUUUUAUCCUUCUUCUCAACAAACAAUACUGCGGAAGCCCAUGGAGACCUGCUAGGCCUAAUGAAACCCUUAGCCAGCAGAUCAUCCAAGUGCCGCUUCAAUUCAACCUGCUCCUUUGGGGUCAUUCGAUACGGAGCCUUAUGAAUGGGCUGCGUACCCGGAAUCAGCUUAAUCUCAAAAGCUGCAUCGCGCUCCGGAGGAAUGCCUAGAAGCUCUGCCGGAAACACGUCAACAAAGUCACACACCACCCAGAUGUUCUGCACCCGCAAGGCAGCCUCACCCUCCACCACCAUGGAGAAAAAGAUUCCCGACUUCCUAGACCGGCGAUCCGGAAGCAAUUGCGCCAACAAGGAUAACGUGAACUUAGGGGAACUUCCCAAGAAUACCACCUCCCUACCUGACGGCGCCUGCAAUAACAUUGUCUUCCAGAAACAAGAUAUAACUGCGCGAUACUGGGAUAACCAAUCCAUACCCAAGAUAACAUCGAAUGCCCCCUAGGAAAUCACAACCAGAUUGGCCAAAAAGACCUCCUCAGCAAGAAUGACGGAACACCCCUAACAAACUGAACAUUUACUAAUGAAGCCAUUAGCAAAACUAACCAAAAUUGGGUGACCCAACCUCUGCACCGAAAGACCAGCCCACGACACAAAAUCCUCCGAAACAAACGAAUAGCUAGCGCCAGAGUCAAAAAGAGCAUGGGCCACAAACGAAUCAACUGAAAUCGUACCUAUCACCACGUCUCCUUGCUCUCUGCCAUCCUCAGUGGGUAGCACAUAAGCCCCAGAAAUACCCGCAUAAGAGGAAGCUCCCGGAGUGAAAUUAACAGAAGAACCCCACUGAGCCGCCGGGUGAGGUAGACGCGGAGCUCCAAACUGAGACGGCAUAGGAGUAGUCGGUGUUGGAGUAGGCGCAGCCAGAUAUUGAGGAAAACCCUGCAUCGGCACGAACUGAGAAGUCCCAGACAUAUAAAACUGCUGCGGAGGAAGUGGAACUGAAAACUACUGCUCAGCACUUGACAUCAUGUUGAUAGUGCCCUGAGAAGAGGAGGAAGUCACCGGCUCCCAUCUGAGCUUCCCAUUAGGAUUCCUCCUACACACCACAUCCUUGUGGUCCUAACUGCAGAUAGAACACCUGACAUUCCACUGGCACUCUGCACGGCGAUGCGCAUCACCACAACGGAAACACACCAGCCCCAGCCCGGGCUUAGGAACAGCCCGAAACCUCUGAGUACUUCCUCCCGAAGUACCUGAGUCAGAAGAUUUGCCACGGUAAGAAUGGUGGCGCUGAUGCUGAGACUUGCCCCUCUUGUGGGCUGGACCUCCAGUGUUGCCCCUCCUCGCGUCCUAGCCAUGAGGCUGAUCAACACCCGAAGACUUCUGCGACUCCAUGAUAUACUGAUGCUGCAUCUCCACACCCAGUGCCUGCUCCACUGUAGUACGGAAGUCCACCAACGGAAAGGCUUCCAAGGCAUGCCUGAUAGAAGGUUUCAGGCCCUGACGGAACUAGCUCGCCUUCUCCAUCUCAUUAAAAGCCACAUGAGGAACAAAGCGGACCAUCUUGUUGAAGCCCACUUCAUACUCUGUGACAGACUUCUUCUCUUGCUUGAAAGACUACAAAUCAAUCUUCAUUUUCUCCAGGAAGGUGACCGGGUAGAACCUCCUUUCAAACUGCCUGAUGAAGACAUCCCAAGUCAAGACUCCUUGUGAGGAGGAGUGCGCUGCCUGCACGCCUCUCCACCAAAUUUGAGCCUCUCCCUUCAGCAGCUGUGUGCCAAAGCGAACACGAUCACCAUACACAAUCUCAAAGACAUUCAUCUUUUCCUCCAUGUAAGUUAGCCAAUCUGCCGCCUCGACCGGAGUACCACUGCCAUCAAAAGCAUCCAACUUCAUGCCCAUCCACUGCAUCAGAGAAAGACCACUGACUGGAAGAGGCACCUCAGCCUCGCCACCUGGAGAAGCACCCGCAGGGACAGCGCCCCCGAGCACUCCUCCUCCACCAGCACCCUGAGCAACACCCGCAGGGGUAGCAUGAAUAGCUUGCCUCAAAAUGGCCAACUCCUGCUGCAUGGCCUGCAUCGCGGCUAACAUUGCCGUCGGACUCAUCGAGUCCCCACUAGGAACUUGCGGACUAUCCCAAGCCCUACGAGGCGGCAUAGCUGCUGCCACAGGGGUGAGAAUAAUAAGUAAAUAAGAUUGGCAUAGCAUCACUUCAGAUAAUGUCAAACUAGCAUAGACAAUAACAUAACAUAUCAAUAGUAAAGCAGAAAACCCAUCCUACAUGUGUAGUGUGUCAAUUUAUGGUUAUUCCACUUGCUAGGACCUACAGCCUAUUCCUUUGAUACCAACUGUAACACCCCCACUGAUCCCACACAAUGGAUGUUACAAAAUACCCUUCCCACUAAACUUAUGCAACACAAGAAAUGAAAUAAAGAGAGAAAGUAUUGCAAAAUCUGGCAGCACCUCCCUUGAAAGAAGCAUAACAAGGGGGGAACAUAGAGUUCAUACAGGAUAUAAAAGACAGAUAAUUCACGUAGCAUAAUCAAAAUGCAAAAGUAGUAAAACACAUUCAUGACCAAUUAAAAAAAUGGGUAACUCAGCCCACCCCAAAAAAUCAGCUCAACUACCAUGAAAGGCUAGAACAUAAUUAUUCCCUAGACUUGACCCUCCCGGAUUAACAACAUUAUUAAGCAGUGGUUCCUUUAUUAAAGGUGUAGUGGCCGUGCUGCUACAUCCCUUCUUUCCCAAAGCAGAAAUCAGGUGCCUGCAUCAGACAAUGCAAGAGUGAGAUGACACAUCUCAGCAAGUAAACAGAGCAAACAACAAUUGGAUAAUGUAAACCAACCGUGCUUAAACAACCACGUAGUUCAAAACUUCCUUCUUGAAUAUUAAUUUGCAGCAAGUAAGCAAGUAACUGAUUACUUAAUGCCAAGAUGAAUCACAAUGUAAAGAUCCACACUAUCCACAUCCACAUAACAGAUUACACACCUCUCCCAUGAAUGCACAUGGCUAAAGAUGCAGUAAUGACUUCUGCCUUCAUAUCUCUAAGGAUAUAAAGCUGCAACAUACCCCUUCUCGGGCAACAUAUGAUGCUCAUUGUACCGGUACGGUCGGACCAUAAGAUCGCGACGAAACUUCAAUGCAAUGGAUGAUGAAUGCAUUAUGCAAGUCAACAACAUGAGUUCUUCCCAAACAAAAUGUGCUAGACAUAUACUUCCACCCAUUCCACAUAAUAAACCACAUGGGUAACAUGAUCAAACCACAAACUCAACAUAUGUAAUCAAUAAAACAUGAAUAUCUUCCAACGAUGGUACUCAAUUAGAAAUAUGAAUACGAACACAAAUAGCACAAACAUAAUCAAGUAUAAGACUCUUCAUUCGACAGACGGAAUAACCAUCACUGUUUUACUUGCCUUCACCGGAAGUUUGGGAAAAUCCCUAAGUAUGAUCCGGAAGUCCACCACCUUGGGUUCUUCCCUUCCUCCUUCCUUCUUCCUCCCUCCAAACUCCAAUUGAGAUCGCAGCCACACGACGGAGAACACGCGGGAGGGCUGCA